rnacentral:rRNA from 1 species
UAUCCUACGGGGGGCAGCAGUGGGGAAUAUCGCACAAUGGGGGAAACCCUGAUGCAGCGACGCCGCGUGAGUGAAGAAGUAUUUCGGUAUGUAAAGCUCUAUCAGCAGGGAAGAAGAAAGACGGUACCUGACUAAGAAGCCCCGGCUAACUACGUGCCAGCAGCCGCGGUAAUACGUAGGGGGCAAGCGUUAUCCGGAUUUACUGGGUGUAAAGGGAGCGUAGACGGCUGUGCAAGUUUGAAGUGAAAGACUAGGGAUCAACCCUGGGACUGCUUUGGAAACUGUGGAGGUAGAG